AACGCUCGCACCCUCUGUAUUACCGCGGCUGCUGGCACAGAGUUAGCCGGUGCUUAUUCUGCGAGUAACGUCCACUAUCCUAGAGUAUUAAUCCAAGUAGCCUCCUCCUCGCUUAAAGUGCUUUACAACCAAAAGGCCUUCUUCACACACGCGGCAUGGCUGGAUCAGGGUUCCCCCCAUUGUCCAAUAUUCCCCACUGCUGCCUCCCGUAGGAGUCUGGGCCGUGUCUCAGUCCCAGUGUGGCUGGUCGUCCUCUCAGACCAGCUACAGAUCGAAGGCUUGGUGAGCCUUUACCUCACCAACUACCUAAUCCCACUUGGGCUCAUCCUAUGGCAUGUGGCCCGAAGGUCCCACACUUUCAUCUCUCGAUACUACGCGGUAUUAGCUACAGUUUCCCGUAGUUAUCCCCCUCCAUAAGCUAGAUUCCCAAGCAUUACUCACCCGUCCGCCACUCGUCAUCAAAGAAGCAAGCUUCUUUAUGUUACCGUUCGACUUGCAUGUGUUAAGCCUGCCGCCAGCGUUCAAUCUGAGCCA
rnacentral:rRNA from 1 species